rnacentral:rRNA from 1 species
UACGGGGGGAGCAAGCGUUGUUCGGAUUUACUGGGCGUAAAGGGCGCGUAGGCGGCCACCGCAAGUCGACUGUGAAAUCUCCGGGCUUAACCCGGAAAGGUCAGCCGAUACUGCGGGGCUAGAGUGCAGAAGGGGCAACUGGAAUUCUCGGUGUAGCGGUGAAAUGCGUAGAUAUCGAGAGGAACACCUGCGGCGAAGGCGGGUUGCUGGGCGUGAUACUGACGCUGAGGAGCGAAAGCGUGGGGAGCAAACAGGA